AGAAACAUAGAAUGUGAUGGCAGAUAAGAACCAUUCGGCCCAUCUAGUCUGCCUAAUUUUCUAAAUACUUUCAUUAGUCCCUGGCCUUAUCUUAUAGUUAGGAUAGCCUUAUGCCUAUCCCACGCAUGCUUAAACUCCUUUACUGUGUUAACCUCUACCACUUCAGCUGGAAGGCUAUUCCAUGCAUCCACUACCCUCUCAGUAAAGUAAUACUUCUGAAUAUUAUUUUUAAACAUUUGCCCCUCUAAUUUAAGACUAUGUCCACUUGUUGUGGUAGUUUUUCUUCUUUUAAAUAUCGUCUCC